GGGGCUGUAGCUCAGCUGGGAGAGCGCGUCGUUCGCAAUGACGAGGUCAGGGGUUCGAUCCCUCUCAGCUCCA
rnacentral:tRNA from 3 species